GCCUACGGGGGGCAGCAGUGGGGAAUAUUGCGCAAUGGGCGAAAGCCUGACGCAGCGACGCCGCGUGAGGGAUGAAGGUCUUCGGAUCGUAAACCUCUGUCAGCAGGGAAGAACGGUCACUGUGCUAAUCAGCAGUGAAUUGACGGUACCUGCAAAGGAAGCACCGGCUAACUCCGUGCCAGCAGCCGCGGUAAUACGGAGUGUGCGAGCGUUAAUCGGAAUUACUGGGCGUAAAGCGCUCGUAGGCGGUAUGUCAAGUCAAGGGUGAAAUCCCCGCGCUCAACGUGGGAACUGCCUUUGAAACG
rnacentral:rRNA from 1 species